GACGUAGGGCGCGAGCGUUGUCCGGAUUUAUUGGGCGUAAAGAGCUCGUAGGCGGUCUGUUGCGUCCGCUGUGAAAACUCGGGGCUUAACCCCGAGCCUGCAGUGGAUACGGGCAGACUAGAGGUAGGUAGGGGAGAAUGGAAUUCCCGGUGUAGCGGUGAAAUGCGCAGAUAUCGGGAGGAACACCGGUGGCGAAGGCGGUUCUCUGGGCCGAUACUGACGCUGAGGAGCGAAAGCGUGGGGAGCGAACAGG
rnacentral:rRNA from 1 species